rnacentral:lncRNA from 1 species
CUGUGUUCCUCUUUGGGAUGCUGCGAGCACAGAUGUGUGACUUGAGAGCUGCAGAACUUGGAUCUGAUACAGCUGGAUUCUCUCUGAUGAGAAAUCACUGGCAAUAAAUCUCUGUGUUGCAUGUUAGCAGAAGACAGGGUGUUUCUUCAGCACCUCCAGUACUGACAGGUGUCUCUGAGCUGGGAUCGCCCACAUCACCUGCACACAUGCCAAGUGACAGCAAAGGUCCCACAAACGCAUUUCCUCAUUUUUGCCGUGUAACAUGGAGCACCACGAUUCUCCUCUACCAUGGCAUCAAUCAUGUUGAUGAGUUUUGCAACCUGCCCAUCCCUCACUUUUCCAGUGGCUGUGUUGCUGAAAGCGAUGUACCGAUUUCCACACUUUGCUGCCAGGCCCUUCAGGUGUGUGCUCCCUUCUAUGAAAUCAUUCAAUUUUUCUGGAUGCUCCAGCUGUUCUGCUCGGGUGAAUAACAGGAUUGUGUACUUGUCUGCUUUAGUAUGGAAAAUCUUGGUCAGCCAUUCUGCGACUUCCUGCUCUUCCUUAGUGAUUCGGCUCAGCUGCAUCACCAGGAUGAUGGCGUGAACCCCUGAAGAGAGGGCCCGCAGGCCACUCUUAAUUUUUUCAGCUGUUUUCAGAUUGGCUUCUCUUGUAUCAAAAAGGCCAGGAGUAUCGACAACAACAAUUGAUCUUCCAGCAAAGUUGCCCUCAACUACACUGAAGUAUCUUGUUACUGCAUGUGCUGACAAAUAAGACAGUAAUGCAUUCCUUCCAAGGAUGGUGUUCCCUGUUGCACUCUUCCCAUUCCCCGUCUUGCCCACCAGCAGUAUCCUCA